CUUGCUCCCUGAGAUUAGCGGCGGACGGGUGAGUAACACGUGGGCAACCUGCCUAUAAGACUGGGAUAACUUCGGGAAACCGGAGCUAAUACCGGAUACGUUCUUUUCUCGCAUGAGAGAAGAUGGAAAGACGGUUUACGCUGUCACUUAUAGAUGGGCCCGCGGCGCAUUAGCUAGUUGGUGAGGUAAUGGCUCACCAAGGCGACGAUGCGUAGCCGACCUGAGAGGGUGAUCGGCCACACUGGGACUGAGACACGGCCCAGACUCCUACGGGAGGCAGCAGUAGGGAAUCUUCCGCAAUGGACGAAAGUCUGACGGAGCAACGCCGCGUGAACGAAGAAGGCCUUCGGGUCGUAAAGUUCUGUUGUUAGGGAAGAACAAGUACCAGAGUAACUGCUGGUACCUUGACGGUACCUAACCAGAAAGCCACGGCUAACUACGUGCCAGCAGCCGCGGU
rnacentral:rRNA from 2 species